AGAGUUUGAUCCUGGCUCAGGAUGAACGCUGGCGGCGUGCCUAAUACAUGCAAGUCGAGCGAACGGACGAGAAGCUUGCUUCUCUGAUGUUAGCGGCGGACGGGUGAGUAACACGUGGAUAACCUACCUAUAAGACUGGGAUAACUUCGGGAAACCGGAGCUAAUACCGGAUAAUAUUUUGAACCGCAUGGUUCAAAAGUGAAAGACGGUCUUGCUGUCACUUAUAGAUGGAUCCGCGCUGCAUUAGCUAGUUGGUAAGGUAACGGCUUACCAAGGCAACGAUGCAUAGCCGACCUGAGAGGGUGAUCGGCCACACUGGAACUGAGACACGGUCCAGACUCCUACGGGAGGCAGCAGUAGGGAAUCUUCCGCAAUGGGCGAAAGCCUGACGGAGCAACGCCGCGUGAGUGAUGAAGGUCUUCGGAUCGUAAAACUCUGUUAUUAGGGAAGAACAUAUGUGUAAGUAACUGUGCACAUCUUGACGGUACCUAAUCAGAAAGCCACGGCUAACUACGUGCCAGCAGCCGCGGUAAUACGUAGGUGGCAAGCGUUAUCCGGAAUUAUUGGGCGUAAAGCGCGCGUAGGCGGUUUUUUAAGUCUGAUGUGAAAGCCCACGGCUCAACCGUGGAGGGUCAUUGGAAACUGGAAAACUUGAGUGCAGAAGAGGAAAGUGGAAUUCCAUGUGUAGCGGUGAAAUGCGCAGAGAUAUGGAGGAACACCAGUGGCGAAGGCGACUUUCUGGUCUGUAACUGACGCUGAUGUGCGAAAGCGUGGGGAUCAAACAGGAUUAGAUACCCUGGUAGUCCACGCCGUAAACGAUGAGUGCUAAGUGUUAGGGGGUUUCCGCCCCUUAGUGCUGCAGCUAACGCAUUAAGCACUCCGCCUGGGGAGUACGACCGCAAGGUUGAAACUCAAAGGAAUUGACGGGGACCCGCACAAGCGGUGGAGCAUGUGGUUUAAUUCGAAGCAACGCGAAGAACCUUACCUACACUUGACAUCCCUUGCAUUACUCUUAAUCGAG
rnacentral:rRNA from 1 species